AACAAAACAUAAAAUCCAUAACUCAAGUUGGCCUUCCAGCAAUUUAAUUGCCUGACAGAAGCAGAUUCAACACCCUUCAGAGGAAGAUAACAGACUUCCUAGUCUCUAUAGGAUAUGAUUCAUACUAAGUGGCCACAGAGACCUCAUCUAGGGAAACUGGACUCCUUGACCUAAUCCUCCCCUUCUCUUUAUGGAGGGAAGUACAUGGAGACCCUGGAAGGUGUGACUUUCUUAGUAAAAGUAAAUCCUCUUGGGAAAACUUUGCACUAUGAAGGAAGAAACACAGGAUCACAUACUAAAGCUACAAGACACAAUCUGUGGGCUCUGAGACAACUUCAGGAGAAAGAAACAUCCAAGCUAUUAAGGGAAGACUCAGCAGGCCUGAGCCAGGAAGAGAGAAAAAACAAAUCAAAUGCUUGGAGUUGAGAGAGAACAUGGGUGUGACUGGACAAGAUACAGUGUUGUGUUGUCCAAGGAGAGAGAGACGAUGUGAGAUUUCCCUGGAGAUGAGCCCCUGCUCGGACUCAAAACCAGGGCUGGGCACUGCGAAGGAAAAGGAGCAAAGGACCUUGUUUGAUCCAAAGUUUCACUUAGCCUGGUGUUCUGAGCUAGAUGAGCACAAAUGGGAAACUGGUAAGACACUGGAGCAAACUCUAUUUGGUUGAAGAACCA
rnacentral:lncRNA from 1 species